UCGGGGGGGGGGGGCUACGUGAAUUCGGCCCCUUGAAAAUGUCUAUUUCGGCGACGAAGGCUAAGGUCGCGCAUUUCUAAACGUCGGUUGCUAAAAAUCGCAUUAAAUUGGCUAAAUACUUGCACAGUUUUGGCGUCCCCGCGACUAAGCCGGCACAACGCGACGUUUCGAAGUAUAUUACAAUAGUGGGAAAAAAGCAAAACGUAGCGGUAAGUCACGCGAGAUUCGCGUU